GGAUCCUCCCGACCCAGGAAUCAAGCCUGCAUCUCUUGGAUGUCCUGCAUUGGCUGGUGGAUUCUUUACCACUAGCACCACCUAGGAAGUCCCUUCAGGCCCCACACGAUUCCAUAAAUCCAGGAUUAAAGUAAUUCAAUCCAGUUAUUAAGAUUUUUCUGUGAAGACCUCUCGUCUUGCUAAUUUUGCCCCAAAGCUUUCUUGCAUGGCUCCUUGAACGCUUAUAUUUACCCAAUAUCCAAAUAAAAGCUGCCGAAUGGGAAGGACGCCAGUGGGGUGAGCUGAAUGGACGAGCUGCAGAAUAAGUGGUUCUCAACGUGCGGUCCCCAGAGAAGCACCGUCAGUAUCACCUGGAACUAUAAACGCAAAACCUUGGGCCCUACAACCAACCUUGAUGUUUAAUGUGGAUCAGAAUCAACUGAAGGGCCUGGAAGAACGCAAACUGCUGGCCCUACUUCCAGGGAUGCUGAUGUAUAAACUCCUAAAAUCACGAGCAUCUGACCCAUAAGAGUCAACACACAG